UGAUUUUUUUUUCUUUGUGGAAGUGGGUCAGCGGCGGGUCCGGGUUCGGGAUCGGGAUCGGGAUCGGGAGGGGGUCCUCGCCCCCUUGGACAGGGAGCCGGAGACGGAUUAUUCUCUGCGGGGCAACACCAGCAAUUUCCAUUCAACCUGCGGUGAGAGGUUUAUUGGAAGAAAAACCCCAACUGGAAGCAAACCAUGGCUAAAGAUGUGGGAACAGCAACAAGAGAACUGGCCCGAGGACUGAGAGCAUCAACUGGAGAGAACAACACUGAAUCAGCUGACUUGGAGUUCCCAGUGAGUCAGUGAGGAGGAAGUUUGUUAGACCUGCGGUGAGAGGUUUCUUGGAAGAAAAACCCCAACUAGAAGCAAACCACGGCUAAGACAAGGGAACAGCAACAAGUGAACCAGCCCGAGGACUGAGAGCACCGACUGGAGAGGACCCAUCUGACUCAGGGUUUCCAUUGAUUCAGUCAGGAGAAAGUCUGCCCCACCUCAGUGAAGCACUUAAAGCGACACUCACUGUAAGUGAACCUGGGGUCUCGAAACACAAUGCACCUCUAAAGUCUGACAGCAGAGUAGCGAGUGAAUCUUCGAUGGUGCAGAGUCAAAAACCAAAAGUUGCUCCAGAGAGAGAUGGGGUCCAGUGUUUACGAGGAGGAGGAGGAGGAAUCAGGAGGAACCAGCAGGAUGUGACUACAGAAGAAAGGAUAAAAAAUGAGAAGAAAUUUGUCUCCAGGAAUCUCAAACACGACACGCCAGUUUUGCUGUCUCCGUCUAGAUAUUUAAGAAGUGGAGCAAGGGAUUCAAUCAACCGUCCUUCCUGCUCAGACUAUGCGGAGGGAUUCACUUGGUCAUUUGAACAUCUAGCAAGCCCGUUAUUUUACACAGGAGAAAGGCCUUUCACCUGCUCAGACAGUGGGAAUGGAUUCACUCGGUUAUCACAAUUGAAGGUACAUCAGCAAGUUUACAAUGGGCAAGGCCAUUCACCUGUUCUGUGUGUGAGAAAGGAUUCUGUCGGGCAACCCACUUGUGGACACACCAGUCAGAUGACACUGGGCAGAGGCUGGUCAUCUGCUGAAUUUCGGGGAAGGGAUUCUUUCGGUCUUCUGACCUCAUGGCACACCAGCGUGUUCACACCAGGGCGCGGCCAUUCACCUGCACAGUCUGCGGGAAGGGAUUCACUGCAUCAUCCAACCUACAGAGACAUCAGCGAGUUCACACUGGGGAGAAGCCAUUCACCUGCUCAGUCUGUGGGAAGAGAUUCACUCAGUCAUCCAACCUACAGAGUCAUCAGCAAGUUCAU